rnacentral:rRNA from 1 species
UACGGGGGGAGCAAGCGUUGUUCGGAUUUACUGGGCGUAAAGGGCGCGUAGGCGGCCACCGCAAGUCGACUGUGAAAUCUCCGGGCUUAACCCGGAAAGGUCAACUGAUACUGCGGGGCUAGAGUGCAGAAGGGGCAACUGGAAUUCUCGGUGUAGCGGUGAAAUGCGUAGAUAUCGAGAGGAACACCUGCGGCGAAGGCGGGUUGCUGGGCUGACACUGACGCUGAUGCGCGAAAGCUAGGGGAGCGAACGGG